UCCCUGAGCCCCAAGCACGAACAAGGUACUGUGCUGCACACCUGAAAGUCACCCAGCUACUCCUUGUAAAGCCAAAUCCCCUUUUGAAAUUGAGCAGUUGACCAAAUUAACUAGGAAACCCUUGACGGCAAGUUACUUCGGGACUGAUAGAAUCACCACAAAUUGAGAUGAGGCAUUCAAGCGGGCUGGACACACUGACACUCGAGCAGUAGGAUCCCUUGAACUGAAGAAAUGAAUAGGAAGAUACAUGCAAUUUAAGAAGAACAUUCAUCAUUAGUACUUGAAGAGACUUGCCUGGUUGGGGCAGAACAGGAUCUGCUAUAGUGCAUGUUACUUGACUGCUCACUGUACGACUUCAAUAAAAUCAAGGUCUUUUCCUGAUGCAAGAAAAUGUUUUCUUGCUGCAAUGGCUAAAUCUACCACACGGGUCGUUAGCUCUGUUACCGUAACAUUGCACCAUCCUAACACGCGAGGAAAAUAAUUUCACAAGAUUCUCAUAUUAAGUAUCUAUUCAAAGAGGUAUGUGACAAUGUGCGGGAAGGAGAAAUUCACUCGGUAACAACACCGAUUCUACGGCUUGCAUGCUGAGAGUUGAGACCUGAUAGUGAGCAUGAUUGUGGGGAUGGUGUGUAUGAGGAUUUUUUUCCCUUCUCCCAUUGGAACACACAGGUAUAUUUGGGUUUAUAAUAUGGGUUGUUGCCCCAGUUGCUUUUGCUUGGCGAUAAUGGCAAUGCAGUUAUCACCAUGUUUGCACCGUUCUUCACAUGCACAUCCCUAGGCUCCUUAUGUUACUGUUCACCAUCACUGUUGAUUAUUUCUCCUUCUAUUCUGUUAUCCAAUAGGUAUUCUCUUACUACAUAUAAAUUUGGAGGACAAAGCAUUUAUUCUGUUGAUAUAUUAAACCCCAAAUUGCUGACAUUUAUUCUGUUGAUAUAUUAAACCCCAAAUUGCUGACAUGUAACGUCUUCUAUCUGAAUUUGUUUCAUAAAAUUAAUCAUUGGUUUAGUUUGAUAGAUUAAACCCAAAUUAGUUUAUGGACUGAACUAGAAAUAACACAAUCACAUAUUAGUUUUCUUUUUAAAUUUCAUAGUAGAGAUUUAGCCGUCGAUGACCCACUACACGUGGAUGCCACAUCCUUUCUUCCUCACCUAUCGCGCGAAUUUUCAAUGCCGGUCCACUGCGAUCAGGGUGCUGGAGGCUCUUGGGCUUGCAGCUCGCAUGCUUGGAGGUAAGUUUUG